rnacentral:rRNA from 1 species
GGAUGACACUUUUCGGAGCGUAAACUCCUUUUCUUAGGGAAGAAUUCUGACGGUACCUAAGGAAUAAGCACCGGCUAACUCCGUGCCAGCAGCCGCGGUAAUACGGAGGGUGCAAGCGUUACUCGGAAUCACUGGGCGUAAAGGGCGCGUAGGCGGAUUAUCAAGUCUUUUGUGAAAUCUAACGGCUUAACCGUUAAACUGCUUAAGAAACUGAUAAUCUAGAGUAGGGGAGAGGCAGAUGGAAUUCUUGGUGUAGGGGUAAAAUCCGUAGAGAUCAAGAAGAAUACCUAUUGCGAAAGCGAUCUGCUGGAACUUAACUGACGCUAAUGCGCGAAAGCGUGGGGAGCAAACAGGAUUAGAUACCCUGGUAGUCCACGCCCUAAACGAUGUAUACUAGUUGUUGCUUUGCUAGUCAAGGCAGUAAUGCACCUAACGGAUUAAGUAUACCGCCUGGGGAGUACGGUCGCAAGAUUAAAACUCAAAGGAAUAGACGGGGACCCGCACAAGCGGUGGAGCAUGUGGUUUAAUUCGAAGAUACGCGAAGAACCUUACCCGGACUUGAUAUCUAACAAAUCAACUAGAGAUAGAUGAGUGCUUGCUUGCAAGAAUGUUAAGACAGGUGCUGCACGGCUGUCGUCAGCUCGUGUCGUGAGAUGUUGGGUUAAGUCCCGCAACGAGCGCAACCCACGUAUUUAGUUGCUAACACUUCGGGUGAGCACUCUAAAUAGACUGCCUCCGUAAGGAGGAGGAAGGUGUGGACGACGUCAAGUCAUCAUGGCCCUUACGCCCAGGGCGACACACGUGCUACAAUG